UCCAAUAUUUCCGUCCAAUUAAGAGAUCAAACACAUGCAAUCUCUGUUUACCAUCACAAGCCCUGCAGGGGCCUCAGCUUCCAUCUCAGGAACUUGAUUCUUGUGAGGCUGUGAUUGCGUAAAUAGAAAGAGAAAGAAACAGUGAGAGAGAAUGAGUAAUAGCAGCAUGAAGUCAAAGCUUCUGUGUUACAAAGUCUGCAGAAGCUACUCAUGAUUCACAGGGACACCAAGGUGUGGUAAACAGGCUGAUAAACGUAAGAGCUAAAGAAUGUGAGUGGAAGUACCUCGAGCUGAGUGGGAGUGAAUAAGACAGUGGGAGGGAGCAAAAAGUGGAGGUGUGGUGUUUUUAAUUCUGUCAUUGUUGUAGCGAAGCGGUUCAAAACGUUUCCUUCACACUCUGCCUCCUCUAAGGUCGAAACUGGAGCUAAAGAAGCUGUACUAUAUAGUUCACAUACAUAAUUGAAAACAAGAGGAAGUUUGGAUGGGAAGUCGUCUCGAAUCGAGUUGUGACAGCGACAUGUGACAUCUUUUUCAAAGGACACUAGAACUUCUGUCACUACAUAAACUGAAAGAGUUAUUAGCAGAGUACCGAUCACCAGCCACUUUCUACUCUAGCAAAAACACCAAACUUAUUUGGUUAUUAAAUACCUUUGGAUCUCUGGUCAGCCUGAGGAAUUUUGGACCCUUCUUCCCUCAAGAUCAAGUCUGGGCGAGUCUAGAUGUGCGCAAACGAACUAAGAGAAGUGAAAGUUGAGGAUGCUUUACUUGAACAGCCUGAGCCGAGGGCUGACUCGCACAGCAUCACCUGUCAUGACAUCUGUAAGGACACAGACCAUCGUAAGCUAGCCAUCUGCAGCAUCAUAUGUGGCCUCUCCUGCUUUGGAAUUAUGUCCCUCAAGUACUCCGUCAAGGCUCGAGAGACAAGAAAAAGACUUCAAAAUGAAGACUGUCCAGAAACACGAGAGAUGGUUAAGAAAUA